AACGAACGCUGGCGGCAGGCUUAACACAUGCAAGUCGAACGGGCUCUUCGGAGCUAGUGGCAGACGGGUGAGUAACGCGUGGGAACCUACCUAUAAGUACGGAACAACACAGAGAAAUUUGUGCUAAUACCGUAUGUGGUCCUCGGAUUAAAGAUUUAUCGCUUAUAGAUGGGCCCGCGUUAGAUUAGCUAGUUGGUGAGGUAAUGGCUCACCAAGGCGACGAUCUAUAGCUGGUCUGAGAGGAUGAUCAGCCACACUGGGACUGAGACACGGCCCAGACUCCUACGGGAGGCAGCAGUGAGGAAUAUUGGACAAUGGGGGCAACCCUGAUCCAGCCAUGCCGCGUGAGUGAUGACGGCCUUAGGGUUGUAAAGCUCUUUCGCUAGGGAAGAUAAUGACGGUACCUAGUAAAGAAGCCCCGGCUAACUUCGUGCCAGCCGCCGCCGUAAUAC
rnacentral:rRNA from 1 species